GUGUGCUUGCUUCAGUAGCACAUACACUAAAAAAAAAAAUUGAAUGAUACAGAGACCAUUAGCAUGGCGGCUGUGCGAGGGUGACACGAAUUCAUCAAGCGUUCCGUAUUAAAAAAUAUUU
rnacentral:snRNA from 1 species